CCCGGAUGACGAGAGGCUGGAUAACAUGGAAUCGGGCAAGAUGGCGCCUCCCAAGAACGCCCCGAGAGAUGCCUUGGUUAUGGCACAGAUCCUGAAGGAUAUGGGAAUCACGGAGUACGAACCAAGGGUUAUAAAUCAAAUGUUGGAAUUUGCUUUCCGAUAUGUGACUACAAUUCUGGAUGAUGCAAAAAUUUAUUCCAGCCAUGCUAAGAAACCUAAUGUUGAUGCAGAUGAUGUGAGACUGGCAAUCCAGUGUCGCGCUGACCAAUCUUUUACCUCUCCUCCCCCAAGAGAUUUUUUACUGGAUAUUGCAAGGCAGAAAAAUCAAACCCCUCUGCCACUGAUUAAGCCUUAUGCAGGACCUAGACUGCCACCUGACAGAUACUGCUUAACAGCUCCAAACUAUAGGCUGAAGUCCUUAAUUAAAAAGGGACCUAACCAAGGAAGACUAGUUCCACGGUUAAGUGUUGGCGCUGUCAGUAGCAGACCUACCACUCCUACUAUAGGAUUAAGCAAAGAAGUCCUAGUCUAGAAGCAUCAUAUCAGGGAGGGAAGCACAAUGAAAAAGUUUCAGUAUUUGGAGCCAGACAAACCCGGAUUUGAAUCUCUACUGUUACUUAUUAACUCUGUGAUCCUGUCCAAGAGUUUAACUACUUCUUCAUCCAUAAAGGUGAAAUACAUAUCUUCCAUGUAAAAUGCCCUGCAUAAAAUUUCUGG